rnacentral:misc_RNA from 1 species
AGGUUGGAAAGAUAUCAACAAUAGAAGAAAUAGAAAAAAAAGAAGUAGAUAAGAUCUAAAGGAUAGGAGAAAAGCUUGGUAGAGUUGGUUACAAUGAUGAGAAUAAGAAGAAUAAGUAUGCUAGGGACAUACUAAGGCAUGUUUAAAACAAGUUAUGGUGAGAUGGUAGAACAAACGAAUAAUGGAGCCUCAAUUUAAGUACCAAUAUGUCCAAAAGCACAUCAGAUAGUAAGAAGUUUCAAGUAGAAAUCAGGGAACUCUCUUUUCAAGAAAUGAGCAAGCUAUGAUAAGUAGUGUUGACUGGGUAGAACUCUACACAACUAAUUACUUAAGAUAGGUAGGAAUUGUUACAAGGAACUUUGUGGUGACACAAACUAAGUUAGAAACUUGCAGUAUCAUGGAAUUAGGAAGAUAAAAAUGUUUUUAGCAUGGGAGGAUCUAGCUAAAGUUUUAAUGGCCAACAGAAUUAGCAAUGAUCUUGGGCAAGGUGCAUGCAAAAGUAGUUGUUUCAGAAGGGUGUUUCAUGAGACGUUGUAAAACAGACAAUAUGAGUCACAUCCUUACACCACGGAUAUUGGUAAUAAAGGGGAAUAAAGGCUAGUGCUGCAGGAUACCAUAUCAGAGUGUAGAAGAAGUAUAUAUGGUAUAGGUACACUUGGCAUUUCGAUGGAACUCUACAUGACUAGUUGCAUAAGAUGGACAGGAGUUGGUCUAAGGACCUUACUAAUGACACAAGGUAUAUUAGAAAUUUGAAGUGUCAUAGGAGUGAAAAGAUGCACAAGUGUUGACCAUUGAGGUCAUAGGACAAGUAAAGAUGUCGAAUAAGAUGCCUGUGAUAGGUGCUACAGGAAAACAUAUCAUAAGAUACCAUAGGAUAAGGAACAUAAGUCAUGUCCAUAAGAAGCAGAGAUUGUUGAAAUAGAGUUAUGGGGACUAAAGUCACUAAGAGAUACGUUAAAGCACAAUGAAGGAGAGGUAAGCACAAAAGCUGAUGGAAGCUAUGAGAUAUCAAGUCAAACACAGUGGAGGUAUAGUGAGUACUGAAGAUGUCAGAAAAAGAUUAAGGAGUGGUUUGAGGUAUCAGUUUCGCUAUGAAAUGACAAUGAUAGCUAGGAUACUACAGCAGGUAAAAGAGCUAUGCGAAUCCUAGGCGAAAAAAUGUAGAGUUUGCAGUAGGUGAUUAUGUAUUCCUAAAGGUCUCCCCAAUGAAAGGAGUCAUGACGUUUGGGAAGGAAGGCAAGCUGCCACCUAGAUACAUAACCUUUUGAGGUCAUUGAUAGAGUUGGAACAAUUCUUAACCAGUUGGAGUUACCACCAAGCCUUUCUCGUGUCCACCCAGUAUUCCACAUCUCCUUACUGAGGAAGUAUGUUCUUGACCCUUCACAUGUGUUGCAACCAGAUGUAAUAGAGUUGAAUGAGAACCUGACCUUAAAGGAGCAACCUGUAAUCAUAGUGGACUAUCAGAUGAGGCAACUAAGUUCAAAGCAGAUCCCUAUGGUUAUGGUUUUAUGGAGGAGCUAGUCAGUGGAAGAAUGCACCUGGAAGUCAGAGUGGGACAUGCGUCGCAAGUACCCUUAUCUGUUCAAUG